ACGCGACGCGGUAAGAGCAUGCAUCUUCUCGUGAAACACGUAGUCAUCUUUUGGCUGUUUGUAGAAGCCUCCUGUUGUAUCUUUGAUUAUCAAUGUUAUGGAGUGAUUGACUGUCCAAUUUAUCAGUGGCCAGCUUGCUUAUACGGACAAUGUACAUGCAAGGAAGGGUCUAGAUGCUUGUUUGACAAUGACUGCAAAUAUAAAUGCAGACGGAGCCAAACACCUGACUGUGCCUUGUUUGAAUGUUAUUGUCAUAAUUACAAAUAAAAAA